rnacentral:rRNA from 1 species
CUAAGCCGAGGCCGAAAGGCGUAGGUGAUGGACAACAGGUUGAUAUUCCUGUACCGCCAAUAAGCGUUUGAGAGAUGGAGUGACACAGUAGGAUAAGCUAACCGUACUGUUGGUUAUGUACGGCUAAGCAUUGAGGCAGUCUAAAUAGGCAAAUCCGUUUAGACAAUGCUAGGAUGUGAUGGGGAAGCCCUUCGGGGCGAAGUAGCUGAUUUCACACUGUCAAGAAAAGCUUCUAUCGAGUUUAAAGGCGCCCGUACCGUAAACCGACACAGGUGGGUGAGGAGAGUAUCCUAAGGCCAGCGAGAGAACUAUUGUUAAGGAACUCGGCAAAAUGACCCCGUAACUUAGGGAGAAGGGGUGCCUGUCUAUGACAGGCCGCAGAGAAUAGGCCCAAGCGACUGUUUACCAAAAACACAGGUUUCUGCUAAGUCGCAAGACGAUGUAUAGGAGCUGACGCCUGCCCGGUGCUGGAAGGUUAAGGGGAUCUGUUAGAGCAAUCGAAGCAGUGAACUUAAGCCCCAGUAAACGGCGGCCGUAACUAUAACGGUCCUAAGGUAGCGAAAUUCCUUGUCGGGUAAGUUCCGACCCGCACGAAAGGCGUAACGAUUUGGGCACUGUCUCAACAAUAGACUCGGUGAAAUUGUAAUCCCGGUGAAGAUGCCGGGUACCUGCGACAGGACGGAAAGACCCCAUGGAGCUUUACUGUAGCUUGACGUUGGGUCUUGGUACUACAUGUACAGGAUAGGUGGGAGACUAUGAAGCAUGGACGCCAGUCUGUGUGGAGUCAUCCUUGGGAUACCACCCUUGUAGUACUGGGAUCCUAACCAUAGGCCUUGAAUCAGGUCUUGGAACACCGUCAGGUGGGCAGUUUGACUGGGGCGGUCGCCUCCUAAAAAGUAACGGAGGCGCUCAAAGGUUUCCUCAGCACGGUCGGAAAUCGUGCGAAGAGUGUAAAGGCAAAAGGAAGCUUGAUUGCAAGACAUACAGGUCGAGCAAGGACGAAAGUCGGACUUAGUGAUCCGGUGGUACCGCAUGGAAGGGCCAUCGCUCAACGGAUAAAAGCUACCCUGGGGAUAACAGGCUGAUCUCCCCCAAGAGUCCACAUCGACGGGGAGGUUUGGCACCUCGAUGUCGGCUCAUCACAUCCUGGGGCUGUAGUAGGUCCCAAGGGUUGGGCUGUUCGCCCAUUAAAGUGGUACGCGAGCUGGGUUCAGAACGUCGUGAGACAGUUCGGUCCCUAUCCGUCGCAGGCGUAGGAAAUUUGAGAAGACCUGUCCUUAGUACGAGAGGACCGGGAUGGACGUACCUCUGGUGUACCAGUUGUUCUGCCAAGGGCAUGGCUGGGUAGCUAUGUACGGAAUGGAUAAGCGCUGAAAGCAUCUAAGCGCGAAGCCAACUUCAAGAUAAGAUUUCCCACCG